rnacentral:rRNA from 1 species
CGCGUAGGCGGAUGGCACAGUCAGAUGUGAAAUUCCUGGGCUUAACCUGGGGGCUGCAUUUGAUACGUGUUGUCUAGAGUGAGGAAGAGGGUCGUGGAAUUCCCAGUGUAGAGGUGAAAUUCGUAGAUAUUGGGAAGAACACCGGUGGCGAAGGCGGCGACCUGGUCCUUGACUGACGCUGAGGCGCGAAAGCGUGGGGAGCAAACAGGAUUAGAUACCCUGGUAGUCCACGCUGUAAACGAUGUGUGCUGGAUGUUGGGUGACCUAGUCGCUCAGUGUCGUAGCUAACGCGAUAAGCACACCGCCUGGGGAUACGGCCGCAAGGUUGAA